rnacentral:rRNA from 1 species
AUUCCCAUAGUAACUGCGAGUGAAAGGGGAACAGCCCAGCGCCGAAUCCUGAUACUGGCAACGGUGUUGGGAACUGUGGCGUGAAGAGAGUUCUGAUUAGCGAGGCUUGCCGACGUAAGUCCUCCUGAGCGAGGCUCCAUCCCAUGGAGGGUGCAAGGCCCGUAUCGUUCGGUAGCUGUCGCUGAUUUCUACUCUCGGAGAGUCGCCUUGUUUGCGAGUACAAGGUGAAGUCGGUGGUAAACUCCAUCGAAGGCUAAAUAUGACCACGAGUCCGAUAGCGAACAAGUACCGUGAGGGAAAAUUGAAAAGCACUUUGAAGAGAGAGCGAAACAGUGCGUGAAACCGCUCAGAGGCAAGCAGAUGGGGCCUCGAAGGCAAAGCAGCGAAUUCAGCGAUCAGUCCGUGUAGCUGGCUGGCGUUCAAGAUGGUUAAACACUUGGCGUUGGUUGUGCUUCUGCAUGGCUGGUCGUGCACUUUCGUUGUUUGUACGCCACCGCCGUUGAGCGAGCAUCCGUUGGGCUAGCUAAUGAAGCCUUACUCCUUCACGGGCGUAGGUGCUUAUGGCUUACUUCAACGCGUUUGCGCCUCAACCGGUCAUGUCAGCAUGUGCCAGCGUUUGCGUUGGUCCGGUACGCUCCGAUUAGAUGUCGUGGGAUGACGAACUUGUUCGGCUCCCCGACGUUUGGUGGACCCGUUGCCGGAUUUCAACCUAGGCACAUUGUAGAUNNNNNNNNNNNNNNNNNNNNNNNNNNNNNNNNNNNNNNNNNNNNNNNNCCAAGGAGUUCAACAUGCGCGCUAGUUGUUGGGACUUGAAGCCCGCUAGCAAAGUGAAAGCAAGACACAGUGUCACGCUGUGUAUUGGCGAGAUCCCGUAACUUGGUUGUAACCAGCCGAGCCGGGCGCACCGCCGGCCCGUCAAGAGCUCACGUGGCUUUGGCGGAGCUUGAGCGUGCACGUUGAGACCCGAAAGAUGGUGAACUAUGCCUGAGCAGGAUGAAGCCAGGGGAAACCCUGGUGGAGGUCCGUAGCGAUUCUGACGUGCAAAUCGAUCGUCUGACUUGGGUAUAGGGGCGAAAGACUAAUCGAACCAUCUAGUAGCUGGUUCCCUCCGAAGUUUCCCUCAGGAUAGCUGGCACUCGGAGAACGUAGUCUCUCCCGGUAAAGCGAAUGAUUAGAGGUCUUGGGGUCGAAACGGCCUCAACCUAUUCUCAAACUUUAAAUGGGUGAGAAGUCGGGCUUGCUUAAAUGCAAUUUAGCUGAAGUCCUGACGUCGGAUACGAGCGCCUAGUGGGCCACUUUUG